ACUCUUUUAGCUUAAAUUAUAAAGUGUUAGUUUGAAGGGCUAAUGAUACAUGGUUGUAGGGAGUA
rnacentral:tRNA from 1 species